GCUCCUCAGUCCUGCAGGGCCAGGCAAGAGGGAAGGGGGAGCCCCCACCCGCCCCCUCUCUCCUUCUUGAGAACUGCUUCCUCUUUGGCUUCCUCAUUCCCCUUGCAGAUCUGCAGGCUCCGGCAGCGUGGCCAGUGGCAGAUCAGAAGGGUGCCUGGGCCAGCAGAGUGACAGCGACCCGACGAACCCAACCCGGGCAGAGGCCUGGAUGGGCACCUUCCUGGAGCCUCGGGGGAGGAGUGACCAGUGAACCCUACCUUCACCCACCGAACCCUGUGCCAGCCUCCUUCCUGACCUUGCCUCAAGUUCUCCCAUGAGUCACCACGGGCAAAGAGCAGGUGCUGUCAUCAAGGCUUAGAUGUUGUUUGAAAAGCUAAUCUUGCCUUAGAAGGCGCUGGGGCUGGUCGCAGAGGAUCUUUAAAGAGGUAAUUAUGUUAAAAUGAGGAUGGGCCCUCCUGCCUUAUGACUGGAGUCCUCAUGAGAAGAGGAGACUGGGACACAGACACCCACAGAUGGAAGAUCAUGUGGGGACACAGGGAGAAGAUGGCUAGCUAUGAGCCAAGGAGAGAGGCCUCCGAAGCAACCGACUCUGCCAACUUGAUCUUGGACUUGGAGCCUCCAGAACUGUGGGAAAAUAAAUUUGGGUUAUUCAAGCUGC